UGGAAUUCGCGAUACUUGAAAUACUCCGGAGAUUGGCAUCUGUUCCCUUCGAUCUUCCGUCAGAUAGAUCGACUAUGGGGCCCGUUACAACUGGACCUGUUCGCAUCCAGACUGAACGCUCAACUACCCCAAUACUUCAGUUGGAGACCGGAUCCAUCAGCCACGGCGGUGGACGCGUUCCUGCAGAUAUGGCCUCGGGGUCGUCACUUUGCGUUUCCCCCUUUCAACCUGAUCUCUCG